AACGCGAAGAACCUUACCUGGGCUUGACAUGUCUGAGCCCUGGAAACAGGGUUCCUGGGGCAGGAACAGGUGGUGCAUGGCUGGAGCGUGGUGUGAUGUUGGGUUAAGCCGCGACGAGCGCAACCCGCUAUGUUGCCGGCGGAUAAUGCCGGGGACAUAGGAGACUGCCGGGGAACGGAGGAAGGUGGGGAUGACGAAGAAUGCCCCUUAAGCAGGGCUACGCAUGCUACAAUGGCUGGUACAAAGGGCUGCAAUGCCGCGAGGGGGAGCCAACCAGAAACCCGAGUAGCGGAGCAGUGCAACGACUGCGUGAAGGGAAGCUAGUAAGCGGAAGCAUGGCGGUGAAUACGUCCGGGUUGUACACACCG
rnacentral:rRNA from 1 species